GUGGGGAAUAUUGGACAAUGGGGGGAACCCUGAUCCAGCCAUGCCGCGUGUGUGAAGAAGGCCUUUUGGUUGUAAAGCACUUUAAGCGAGGAGGAGGCUACCGAGAUUAAUACUCUUGGAUAGUGGACGUUACUCGCAGAAUAAGCACCGGCUAACUCUGUGCCAGCAGCCGCGGUAAUACAGAGGGUGCAAGCGUUAAUCGGAUUUACUGGGCGUAAAGCGCGCGUAGGUGGCCAAUUAAGUCAAAUGUGAAAUCCCCGAGCUUAACUUGGGAAUUGCAUUCGAUACUGGUUGGCUAGAGUAUGGGAGAGGAUGGUAGAAUUCCAGGUGUAGCGGUGAAAUGCGUAGAGAUCUGGAGGAAUACCGAUGGCGAAGGCAGCCAUCUGGCCUAAUACUGACACUGAUGUGCGAAAGCAUGGGGAGCAAACAGGAUUAGAUACCCGGGUAGUCC
rnacentral:rRNA from 1 species